UACGUAGGGGGCAAGCGUUGUCCGGAUUUAUUGGGCGUAAAGAGCUCGUAGGUGGUUUGGUAAGUCGGACGUGAAAUCUCCACGCUCAACGUGGAGGGGCCGUUCGAUACUGUCGUGACUCGAGUCCGGUAGGGGAGUGUGGAAUUCCCGGUGUAGCGGUGAAAUGCGCAGAGAUCGGGAGGAACACCCGUAGCGAAGGCGGCACUCUGGGCCGGUACUGACGCUGAGGAGCGAAAGCGUGGGGAGCAAACAGGG
rnacentral:rRNA from 1 species